rnacentral:rRNA from 1 species
AUUGAACGCUGGCGGCAGGCCUAACACAUGCAAGUCGAACGGUAACAGGGAUCAGCUUGCUGAUUCGCUGACGAGUGGCGGACGGGUGAGUAAUGUCUGGGAAACUGCCUGAUGGAGGGGGAUAACUACUGGAAACCGUAGCUAAUACCGCAUAACGUCGCAAGACCAAAGAGGGGGACCUUCGGGCCUCUUGCCAUCGGAUGUGCCCAGAUGGGAUUAGCUAGUAGGUGGGGUAACGGCUCACCUAGGCGACGAUCCCUAGCUGGUCUGAGAGGAUGACCAGCCACACUGGAACUGAGACACGGUCCAGACUCCUACGGGAGGCAGCAGUGGGGAAUAUUGCACAAUGGGCGCAAGCCUGAUGCAGCCAUGCCGCGUGUAUGAAGAAGGCCUUCGGGUUGUAAAGUACUUUCAGCGGGGAGGAAGGGAGUAAAGUUAAUACCUUUGCUCAUUGACGUUACCCGCAGAAGAAGCACCGGCUAACUCCGUG